rnacentral:rRNA from 1 species
UCGGGAAUUUUGGGCAAUGGGCGAAAGCCUGACCCAGCAACGCCGCGUGAAGGAUGAAGUAUUUCGGUAUGUAAACUUCGAAAGAAUAGGAAGAAUAAAUGACGGUACUAUUUAUAAGGUCCGGCUAACUACGUGCCAGCAGCCGCGGUAAUACGUAGGGACCAAGCGUUGUUCGGAUUUACUGGGCGUAAAGGGCGCGUAGGCGGCAAUUCAAGUCAUCUGUGAAAUCUCCGGGCUUAACUCGGAACGGUCAGAUGAUACUGCUUUGCUAGAGUGCAGAAGGGGCAAUCGGAAUUCUUGGUGGAGCGGUGAAAUGCGUAGAUAUCAAGAGGAACACCUGAGGUGAAGACGGGUUGCUGGGCUGAUACUGACGCUGAGGCGCGAAAGCUAGGGUAGCAAACGGGAUUAGAUACCCAAGUAGUCCCUGAGCGGGCUGGCAAGGCGCAU